CCUUUAGAAAUGAAGAUUAAUGCCUCAUAGUAUUGUAGACUGGCAUCAGUUUAUAAUUAAAGAUUUAUCGGUAAAAGAUGGCUAUGCGUCCUAUUAGUUAGUUGGUAAGGUAACGGCUUACCAAGACAGCGAUAGGUAGGGGUCCUGAGAGGGAGAUCCCCCACACUGGUACUGAGACACGGACCAGACUCCUACGGGAGGCAGCAGUGAGGAAUAUUGGACAAUGGAGGAGACUCUGAUCCAGCCAUGCCGCGUGUAGGAAGAAUGCCCUAUGGGUUGUAAACUACUUUUAUACAGGAAGAAACACUGGUAUGUAUACCAGCUUGAC
rnacentral:rRNA from 1 species